UGAUUAUACUUGACUGUUUUAUUUUUUUCAUGUUAAUAAUCAGUAUCCUUUCAUUUUAGCUUGAAAAAUACCUUCCAGCACCUUGUAAGGCAGGACUAAUGGUGAUGAAUUGGUCAGCUUUUGUUCUGGAAAGUAUCUCUGUUUCAUUCCUGAAAGAUCAACUUUGAAGAAGAGGAGUGACCUUCUAUCCUUACAUUGUCAUCCUGGUCAUGGGACAGGACAUUUCAUAGACAAAGUCAAGGCUCAUGUGAGAAGGAUGGAUGGUCUCCAAAUAGUAUUCAGACUUUCUAGUGUACUCUACCACCUUCAUCUCCCAUCCACGCUCCCAGAACAGGAUCAGUUGCGCAAAGAUGCCACAACCUAGUGCCAUCAUUUCACACAUGGAGCUUAUUUUGUUCCCUUCUUUUGUCUUUGUCUUUCUAGUUUUUGUUAUGUUUCAAAAAUUUUCCAUUACAUAACAUAAUACAGUGAACACUCAC
rnacentral:lncRNA from 1 species